CUUGCGGCCAUAUAGCGUUAAAAUACUGGUUCUCAUAUGAUCACCGAAGUUAAGCAACCUCCUAGCCUGGUCAGUACCUAGAUGGGUAACUGUUCGGGAAUAGAAGGUGC